CUGCCAACCUGUUUCCAUCCAAAGGAUGCGUGAUACUUAGCUAGAACACUAGAGGGACUGGGGACUGCAAAAAGAAAUGAAACAUCAGAGAAACCUUUAAGCGGUCAAAGAGUGCCAUAGUUUGUCUCCAGUAAACAAAGCAGGUGCAGAUGAAUAAUAGAAAACAAAAAUCCAUAUGCGGUCCACACCUGGUUGGGAAUCGG
rnacentral:lncRNA from 1 species